CCUACGGGGGGCAGCAGUGAGGAAUAUUGGUCAAUGGACGAGAGUCUGAACCAGCCAAGUAGCGUGAAGGAUGACUGCCCUAUGGGUUGUAAACUUCUUUUAUAUGGGAAUAAAACGUUCCACGUGUGGGAUUUUGUAUGUACCAUAUGAAUAAGAAUCGGCUAACUCCGUGCCAGCAGCCGCGGGAAUACGGAGGAUCCGAGCGUUAUCCGGAUUUAUUGGGUUUAUAGGGAGCGUAGGUGGAUUGUUAAGUCAGUUGUGAAAGUUUGCGGCUCAACCGUAAAAUUGCAGUUGAAACUGGCAGUCUUGAGUACAGUAGAGGUGGGCGGAAUUCGUGGUGUAGCGGUGAAAUGCUUAGAUAUCACGAAGAACUCCGAUUGCGAAGGCAGUUCACUGGACUGCAACUGACACUGAGGCUCGAAAGUGUGGGUAUCAAACAGGAUUAGAUACCCGAGUAGUC
rnacentral:rRNA from 1 species